rnacentral:rRNA from 1 species
UAAGCGACUAAGCGUACACGGUGGAUGCCUAGGCAGUCAGAGGCGAUGAAGGGCGUGCUAAUCUGCGAAAAGCGUCGGUAAGGUGAUAUGAACCGUUACAACCGACGAUACCCGAAUGGGGAAACCCAGUGCAAUUCGUUGCACUAUUGCAUGGUGAAUACAUAGCCAUGCAAGGCGAACCGGGGGAACUGAAACAUCUAAGUACCCCGAGGAAAAGAAAUCAACCGAGAUUCCCCCAGUAGCGGCGAGCGAACGGGGAGGAGCCCAGAACCUGAAUCAGCGUAUGUGUUAGUGGAAGCGUCUGGAAAGUCGCACGGUACAGGGUGAUAGUCCCGUACACAAAAAUGCAUAUGUUGUGAGUUCGAUGAGUAGGGCGGGACACGUGACAUCCUGUCUGAAUAUGGGGGGACCAUCCUCCAAGGCUAAAUACUCCUGACUGACCGAUAGUGAACCAGUACCGUGAGGGAAAGGCGAAAAGAACCCCGGCGAGGGGAGUGAAAUAGAACCUGAAACCGUGUACGUACAAGCAGUGGGAGCACCUUCGUGGUGUGACUGCGUACCUUUUGUAUAAUGGGUCAGCGACUUAUAUUUUGUAGCAAGGUUAACCGAAUAGGGGAGCCGUAGGGAAACCGAGUCUUAACUGGGCGAAUAGUUGCAAGGUAUAGACCCGAAACCCGGUGAUCUAGCCAUGGGCAGGUUGAAGGUUGGGUAACACUAACUGGAGGACCGAACCGACUAAUGUUGAAAAAUUAGCGGAUGACUUGUGGCUGGGGGUGAAAGGCCAAUCAAACCGGGAGAUAGCUGGUUCUCCCCGAAAGCUAUUUAGGUAGCGCCUCGUGAACUCAUCUUCGGGGGUAGAGCACUGUUUCGGCUAGGGGGUCAUCCCGACUUACCAAACCGAUGCAAACUCCGAAUACCGAAGAAUGUUAUCACGGGAGACACACGGCGGGUGCUAACGUCCGUCGUGAAGAGGGAAACAACCCAGACCGCCAGCUAAGGUCCCAAAGUCAUGGUUAAGUGGGAAACGAUGUGGGAAGGCAUAGACAGCCAGGAUGUUGGCUUAGAAGCAGCCAUCAUUUAAAGAAAGCGUAAUAGCUCACUGGUCGAGUCGGCCUGCGCGGAAGAUGUAACGGGGCUAAACCAUG